rnacentral:rRNA from 1 species
AAAUUAGAAAUAAUAAGAUUCAAAUCUUGACCAAAAGGGAAAUUGGUUAAUAUUCCAAUACCAAGAUAGGGAUAAAAUAAUGUGGUAACACUAAACAAAACCUCGAAAUGUAAAUUGACGUUAACCCUAGGAAGAGUUCUCUUUUCUUUUUAACGAGCCUGUAAAGUUAUUCCUUUUAACGAGGAAUAAAGAUUUAGCCUUGGAAUCGUAUCAAACGGAGAUAAGGCAAAAAGCUCGGCAAAGCAGAAAACAAAAAGUAAAAUUAUUGUUACUGUCUGGUGAGUUAACGCCAAUCCUUGAAAAUCGAGGAGCGAGAAAUUUUUAGAUUUUCCCUACUUGUUCGUACUAUAAUCCGCAUCAGGUCUCCAAGGUUAGAAGCCUCUAGUCAACAAGAUAAUGUAGGUAAGGGAAGUCGGCAAAAUAGAUCCGUAAACUUUUGGGAAAAAGGAUUGGCUCUGAGGGCG